ensembl:lncRNA
GGCCCAGACUGGCAGUUUUAAGAUAUUUUAGUACUAUAAGCUCCUGCAAUGGAACAUAACUUUAACAGCUGAUUUGAGGAUCUGCUGAACAGUUGGGGAAUUGAAGACAUUAAAGUAUAAAUUUGUGAGAUCGAGGGCACUUCUAGAGGUAAGUUGAGUCAGCGGUGUUCACAUCUGACUGUUCUACAUCUACACAUAGAGGGGGGGGAGCACUUCAGGUGAUAAUUGCCCUUCCUUCCUCAACGUAUAAAUGAACUCUUCACUCCUGCAUUUUCUUUCCCACCAAUUAGAGAUGUCUGUGGUGGCAGAGCACCACAUUGCACUCUUGGACCUUCGUCAACAGGGGGAUGAGGCGAUUCUGUGCUCGUGUGAAACGGUGCUGGCAGUAUCUGCUGCUCGCAUUCAUUCCCAUAUAAACUCUUCUUCUUUUUUCUUUUUUUUGCGGUUUCCUCCCCCAGCGAUGCAGACAGCACAAUGGUCUCACUGAGCGGUGACGAUUAACACAUAAAAGCGACACGGGGAAUCUCGCUGCUAGAUACUAGCGCACAUGAGAGGGCAAAGCAUUCAUAGCAUGCCAAGAAGUUCAGUGGGAGCCCCUUCUAUCUGAUUGGUGAUCUUUUGUUUUGGCGUUGCCCUCGAUUCGGGGGAACGUGCCCAAUCAGAUUAUGGAGAGGGAGGCAGAGCGAGACGACAAUCGCCGUUUUCUAUUUACUCUGUCUAUCUCCAAACGGCUUCACUUAAGGCGGCCACAGAUAAGUCAAAGCGUCUCCAUCCUGGUGCUUCAACGACCUCCUCCCCUACUUCCCUCAGACACUGAGGCUGGAUUAAACUCAAACUUGAGCACAAGCAGACGAUCAUGUUUUAACCCCAAACUCCUCCAAGCUGACAGCAGCAGUCGUGGCAACCUCCCCGUCCUGACCCCGUCUCCCGUCAACGUUUCAAUCCAAGUCUCAGCCCUGGCGUAAGCCCGACAUCAGGUAGGUAGGCUAGUUUAAAAAAAAAAAAAAAACCGGGGAGAGCAAACACGCUGCAAUCUCGCGUGUAAAAAAAACAUAAAUGACUUUGCAUAAACACAGGCAGACAUAUGAGUGCAUACUCUACAUAUGUAUGUUAAUGGUGAUAUAAUGUGUGCGUAUUAUGCAUGCAGAUGACUCAUAAUCCGAUAUGUUAAUAAAUUUGUGUCACUGAUUUGAAUAUUAAAUUAUGUUUUUAAAUAUAUAUGUGCAAUUAGAUGUAGCUUUUAUGGAUUAUGUGCUUAUAGUUUUGAAUACGAUGCGUUUUUGUACCUAAAAGUACAUUUAAAAAAU